UACGUAGGGGGGCAAGCGUUGUCCGGAUUCAUUGGGCGUAAAGAGCGUGUAGGCGGUCCGGUAAGUCGGCUGUGAAAGUCCAGGGCUCAACCCUGGGAUGCCGGUCGAUACUGCCGGACUAGAGUUCGGAAGAGGCGAGUGGAAUUCCCGGUGUAGCGGUGAAAUGCGCAGAUAGUCGGGGAGGAACACCUAUGGCGAAGGCAGCUCGCUGGG
rnacentral:rRNA from 1 species